AAUAUUGGACAAUGGGGGCAACCCUGAUCCAGCCAUGCCGCGUGUGUGAAGAAGGUCUUCGGAUUGUAAAGCACUUUAAGUUGGGAGGAGGGGCUUUAGGCGAAUACCCUGAAGUUUUGAAGUUAGCAACAGAAUAAGCACCGGCCAACACUGUGCCAGCAGCCGCGGUAAUACAGAGGGUGUAAUAGUUAAUCGGGAUUAUGGGGAGUAAAGAGCGCGUAGGUGGUUCAGUAAGAUGGGUGUGAAAUCCCCGGGCAUAACCUGGGAACUGCUUUCAUAACUGCUGAGCUAGAGUACGGUAGUGAGUAGUGGAAUGUCCUGUGUAGCGGUGAGAUGCGUAGAUAUAGGAAAGAACACCAGUGGCGAAGGCGACUACCUGGACUGAUACUGACACUGAGGUGCGAAAGCGUGGGGAGCAAAC
rnacentral:rRNA from 1 species